UGCCCUAGUAACGGCGAGUGAAGCGGCAUCAGCUCAAAUUUGAAAUCUGGCUCUUUCAGAGUCCGAGUUGUAAUUUGCAGAGGGCGCUUUGGUGUCGGCAGCGGUCCAAGUUCCUUGGAACAGGACGUCACAGAGGGUGAGAAUCCCGUACGUGGUCGCUGACCUACACCGUGUAAAGCCCCUUCGACGAGUCGAGUUGUUUGGGAAUGCAGCUCUAAAUGGGAGGUAAAUUUCUUCUAAAGCUAAAUACUGGCCAGAGACCGAUAGCGCACAAGUAGAGUGAUCGAAAGAUGAAAAGCACUUUGGAAAGAGAGUCAAACAGCACGUGAAAUUGUUGAAAGGGAAGCGCUUGCAGCCAGACUUGCUUGUAGUUGCUCAUCCGGGCUUUUGCCCGGUGCACUCUUCUGCGAGCAGGCCAGCAUCAGUUUGGACGGUUGGAUAAAGGCCUCUGUCACGUACCUUCUCUCGGGAAGGCCUUAUAGGGGAGGCGUCAUGCAACCAGUCUGGACUGAGGUCCGCGCAUCUGCUAGGAUGCUGGCGUAAUGGCUGUAAGCGGCCCGUCUUGAAACACGGACCAAGGAGUCUAACAUCUAUGCGAGUGUUUGGGUGUCAAGCCCGAGCGCGUAAUGAAAGUGAACGGAGGUGGGAUCCCGCAAGGGUGCACCAUCGACCGAUCCUGAUGUCUUCGG
rnacentral:rRNA from 1 species